UAUCGAUGUUUGAAUAAAUAUAGAUAAUUAUGCUUAUCUAAAUAAGUGUCGGGUUUCGUUAAGUUGUAACUUGCGUGUUGUCGAAAUGCUAUAAUUUCAGUUUAUAAGUUAUAAAAAAACGUCACUAAAAUAAAUAUACUUUUAUAUUUAUUUUAUAAGAAAGCUUGGAUUUCGAUAAGUGUCGUUAAGAUUUAGAUACGUUUUAUAAUUCGGGUUUUAACGAAAAUCGGGCAGAGCUUCCUCUGUUUUUUUGGAAUAACCCCGACAACAUAAAUGUCGAUAUUUUGUCCAAAUUCAACAAUUCAACAAACAUUAUAUAUAAAGUUUACGACAAGUAUAUCAAAACGUCAAAUAUGAAACCAACUCACUAAAUAUAAAACCGUUAGUUAGUCGGGUCGAGCUCGGUUCGCGUAAACUAAUAAAAUCUAACUAACGUAUACUAACUCGCUUUGAUUAAAUUUGUUACCGGGUCUUCGAGUCGACUGCGUUUGACCUCACGUUGACAUGAUGUUGACUGGGACCCGAACCAAAAAUGUGACUUUAAUUUCGAACCGUUCGUGUCGCGAAGCUCAAAUUGGAGAAAUCUGCCCAAACUAACCACGCCCUGAUCCGUUGCGCCUGUUGUUGACCCGAGUCUACUCGGUUUGACCCGAGUCGACCGGGUUUGACCCGCUGACUCGAACCCGCGUCUCGACCCGUGACCCGAACUGAAACUAAAACCAAACAUCACACCUGAACUGAUGAGUUUAAACCCGAAUUCCAUCCAAACAAAACCCAAACUAAAUUAGAAUCGAAUCUGAACGUGAAACUGACCCGAGUCACCUGAAUCAAUAUAACCACCACCACCACUGCCGUCACCGGCUGCCACCGCGUGGCGGUUUUGUUAUUCCGUGAACACCACCACUGAAGACAUCACCUUUUCCAGCUUCAUCAUCGGAGCAAAGAAAUAAUCGAACUUCAUAUCGAUUAAAUCUGAACUGAUUCAAAGUAAAAGAUGAAGGACAUGGGUUUUACCAGUGAGCAUGUCGAAAGAAAUUAAAGUCGUCGUCAACCUCCACCGCUUGCCCCUUUCUCUCUAUCUCUUCGUGUACCGUCGCCGUGUGCCACCAACGAGGGUGGUGGCAGUUGUUUCUGCUUCGAGUGGGGAGCCGGAACAAGUGGGUUAGUCACCGGAGUGACCUGAGUGUUCGCCGGAGAAAAUCAACAGGAGGGAGGGAGGGUGUUGUCGGCUGGUAACACCGCCGACAGCCGGCGGUUAACAAGCUCCGAUCAUCGUCGACCAGGAGCAUCACGAGAGAGAGAGGGUAUGUGAGAGUGGAGUUAAUAUCUUUUUUUUUAAAGAUGGUGAAGGGAGUUUUAGUAGAGUAUGUGUGUGUUUGUCUGUAUGUAAUUCGAGAGAAAGUGGCAAAGAAAAAGAAGGUUUUGUAAGGAUGAUGGUGAUGAGGUUUUUAUUUAGGUGUAGAUGAUAGAUCAGACAUAAUUUGUCUGUGUGCAAUUGUAGGCAUAAUCAAGAGAAAGGGAAUUAGAGGAUUAGGGUUUCUUCAACUUGAAGAUGAAAGAGAGCAGAUUGUGUGCGUGAUUUAGUUUUGUGGUUUCAAAUGAAGGAUAAGGUUGUAGCUACAAAUAUAUACUAGGGUUAGUUUAAUGGGCUUUGGGCUUGGGCCCAAGGCCCACAAGCCCAAUCCCCGUUACCGGUAGCCGUUUGUCGUGUUCGUUCACUGAUUACUGUAAAAAUCGCAUGAAAUCGCGCCAUUGCCAUUUUAAUCCGUUUUUUGAUAUGGUUUCUACUACGGAUAUUAAAAUUUAAUUACGAAGCUAGUUAUAUCAUAAAAUUUCAGUUUUGGAAGUAAUACGCAUGUUUGAUGCUUCUGUUUCGUUGCCGGUGCGUUCCUGCAGUCGCGUUUUUUGUUCGCGUUCGCGCUUUGUGACGUACGAAAGCACAAUAAAUUCACAAAACUAAACUUAUGAGUAUAAAAUACGCAUAUAAAAUUUGUAUUUGUCGGCGUUGUCAAUAUUUCGCACGGUUUCUAUUCGUUAUCGAUUAUCGUUACGCUGUUUCUCCGCAGUUUAUCAUCCGCGUACUAUAAAGUCGAUUAGGCGUUCCUAGGCAUUUACAAAAGCCUAAUUGGGUUAACUCGUGCCUUAAACACUAUCAGUUAUCGUCUUAAUCGUUUCUUAACCACGUAAUUAGAAGCUGUUAAUUACCGGUUGUCACAUUCUCCCCGUGUUGCAGAAAUUUCGUCCUCGAAAUUUAGUCUAUGUUAUCUCCUCAAAGUUGUGUCGUUUCGCAGGUAAGUCCGAAAAAUACCAUAGUGAAUGACCGCGUACUCGAAUCAAGACUUAUUCGGAUUAGUGAGUGUAAAGACAUUUUGCAUCAAUAAAAACCCGAUGGUUGAACUGAGUUUGUUCCAGAAAUAGAUGUCAAAUGAAUGAAGCAUAGUGAUACUAUCACCGAUGUGAUUAAGUUUACGGAGUUCAACAAAAGGGGAAUUUCGAUCAAGAGAAUUGAAAAUGAACGUUCACAACAUGCAAAUCAAUUUUGAA
rnacentral:lncRNA from 1 species